ACUUGUAGCUCAGUCGGUAGAGCAGCGCCCUUUUAAGGCGAAGGUCCCGGGUUCGAGCCCCGGCAAGUC
rnacentral:tRNA from 1 species